AUUGAACGCUGGCGGCAGGCUUAACACAUGCAAGUCGAACGAGUGGCGGACGGGUGAGUAAUGCUUGGGAAUCUGGCUUAUGGAGGGGGAUAACUACGGGAAACUGUAGCUAAUACCGCGUACCAUAGGAUGAGCCCAAGUGGGAUUAGGUAGUUGGUGAGGUAAAGGCUCACCAAGCCGACGAUCUCUAUCUGGUCUGAGAGGAUGACCGCCCACGCUGAGACUGGGACACGGCCCAGACUCCUACGGGAGGCAGCUGUGGGGAAUUUUGCGGAAUGGGGGCAACCUGACGCAGCCAUGCCGCGUGAAUGAAGAAGGCUUUCGGGUUGUAAAGUGCUUUCGGUAGCGAGGCGUUAACUACAGAAGAAGAACCGGCUAACUCCGUGCCAGCAGCCGCGUAAUUC
rnacentral:rRNA from 1 species